rnacentral:misc_RNA from 1 species
UUUCCGUAGGUGAACCUGCGGAAGGAUCAUUACCGAGCUCCUGCCCUUCGGGGUAGAGACGCCACCCGUGUAUACCAGACCGAUGUUGCUUUGGCGGGCGCGAGCCCGCCAGAGACCCCAAACCCUGAGUGUUAGUGUCGUCGGAGUACUAUCUAAUAGUUAAAACUUUCAACAACGGAUCUCUUGGUUCUG